AUCGCUUCUCGGCCUUUUGGCUAAGAUCAAGUGGAGAAAGAUCCGUCUCCCUCUUUCCUAUUAUCUAUCUUUCAUUUUGCUCUUGACUUAUAUUUUGGGUUUCCCAUAUAAGAGAAACCGUGCAAUACUGAAGCUUGGGUGUCUCAUUUACUGCACUUAACAUU
ensembl:snRNA U2 U2 spliceosomal RNA